rnacentral:rRNA from 1 species
GUAGGGGGCAAGCGUUAUCCGGAUUUACUGGGUGUAAAGGGAGCGUAGACGGUGAGACAAGUCUGAAGUGAAAGCCCGGGGCCCAACCCCGGGACUGCUCUGGAAACUGCCAUGCUAGAGUGCUGGAGAGGUAAGUGGAAUUCCUAGUGUAGCGGUGAAAUGCGUAGAUAUUAGGAGGAACACCAGUGGCGAAGGCGGCUUACUGGACAGUGACUGACGUUGAGGCUCGAAAGCGUGGGGAGCAAA